rnacentral:snRNA from 1 species
AUACUCACCUGGCAGAGGAGAUACCAUGAUCACAAAUGGUUUUCCCAGGGCGAGGUUUAUCCAUUGACUCCAGAUGUGCUGACCCCUGCGAUUUCCUCAAAUAUGGAAAACUCAACUGCAUAAUUUGUGGUAGUGGGGGACUGCGUUUGCACGCUCCCCUG